rnacentral:rRNA from 1 species
UACGGGGGGGGUAAGCGUUGUUCGGAAUUACUGGGCGUAAAGGGCUCGUAGGUGGCCAACUAAGUCGGACGUGAAAUCCCUCGGCUUAACCGGGGAACUGCGUCUGAUACUGGAUGGCUUGAGUUCGGGAGAGGGAUGCGGAAUUCCAGGUGUAGCGGUGAAAUGCGUAGAUAUCUGGAGGAACACCGGUGGCGAAGGCGGCAUCCUGGACCGACACUGACGCUGAGGAGCGAAAGCCAGGGGAGCAAACGGG